GAUGAACGCUGGCGGCAGGCUUAACACAUGCAAGUCGAACGCUCCGCAAGGAGAGUGGCAGACGGGUGAGUAACGCGUGGGAAUCUACCCAUCUCUACGGAACAACUCCGGGAAACUGGAGCUAAUACCGUAUACGUCCUUCGGGAGAAAGAUUUAUCGGGGAUGGAUGAGCCCGCGUUGGAUUAGCUAGUUGGUGGGGUAAAGGCCUACCAAGGCGACGAUCCAUAGCUGGUCUGAGAGGAUGAUCAGCCUCACUGGGACUGAGACACGGCCCAGACUCCUACGGGAGGCAGCAGUGGGGAAUAUUGGACAAUGGGCGCAAGCCUGAUCCAGCCAUGCCGCGUGGAUGAUGAAGGCCCUAGGGUUGUAAAGUCCUUUCGGCGGGGAAGAUAAUGACGGUACCCGCAGAAGAAGCCCCGGCUAACUUCGUGCCAGCCGCCGCCGUAACAC
rnacentral:rRNA from 1 species